rnacentral:rRNA from 1 species
UACAGAGGGUGCAAGCGUUAAUCGGAGUUACUGGGCGUAAAGGGCGCGUAGGCGGUUUUAUAAGUGAGAUGUGAAAGCCCUGGGCUCAACCUAGGAACUGCAUCUUAAACUGUAGAACUGGAGUACUGUAGAGGGUAGUGGAAUUUCCGGUGUAGCGGUGAAAUGCGUAGAGAUCGGAAGGAACACCAGUGGCGAAGGCGGCUACCUGGACAGAUACUGACGCUGAGGCGCGAGAGCGUGGGGAGCAAACAGG